AGCGAACGCUGGCGGCAGGCUUAACACAUGCAAGUCGAGCGGGCAUCCUUGUGGUUUCAGCGGCAGACGUGUGCGUCACGCGUGGGAACGUCCCCUUCAUUUCGGACUUACUCAGGGAAACUUGCGCUAAUACCCGAUACGUGCGAGCGCAGAAAGGUUUGUCUGCCGAAGUAUCGUCGCGAGUCGGGUUAGCUAGUUGGUGAGGUUAUGGCUCACCAAGGCGACGAUCAGUAGCUGGUCUGAGAGGAUGCUCAGCCACACUGGGACUGAGACGCGGCCCAGACUCCUACGGGAGGCAGCAGUGGGGAAUAGUGGACAACGGGGGCAACCAUGAUCCAGCCAUGACGCGUGAGUGAUGACGGCAGUAGGGUUGUAAAGCGCUUUUUUCCGUGACGAUAAUGACGGUACCGGAGGAAUAAGCCCCGGCUAACUUCGUG
rnacentral:rRNA from 1 species